UACGGAGGGUGCAAGCGUUAUCCGGAAUCACUGGGCGUAAAGGGCGCGUAGGUGGUCUGUUAAGUCUGGCGUUAAAGCCUGGGGCUCAACCCCAGAUCAGUGUUGGAUACUGGCAGGCUAGACGGUUGGAGAGGCGAGUGGAAUUACCAGUGUAGCGGUGGAAUGCGUAGAUACUGGUAGGAACACCCAUUGCGAAGGCAGCUCGCUGGACAGCACGUGACACUGAGGCGCGAAAGUGUGGGGAGCAAACCGGAUUAGAUACCCG
rnacentral:rRNA from 1 species